AGCUCUCAGAGACGCGCGACGAAUAUCCGGGUCCGCGAGUGCUUCAUGAAGUUUCAAAAGCAGCCCGUGAAUUCCUCCUGCAGCGUUGCUUUGCUGAAGAGACAUAGCUGACCCGAGUCUCCUCCAGCUAACAAUUUAUCAAUUGAGGGGUCACAGGCACUGUCAGCCAUUUCCAUCAAUUCACAGACGCUUCCAUCUGAUUCUAAUUCUCCUGAAUAUUAUCCGUGGACUUGUCAGAAUCCCUGCUUCCCGGGAUUCCAAGGUGCUGCUUUCUGCUACCAGAAUGACGGAGCGCAGGUUGUGCCAAUCGCCAUGACAACCACGCAGCCAGGUAAGGUUGCUAAACUACACACAACAAAAGAGGCACAAUGAAUAAAAUAUGAGAACAAAAUGGAAUGGAACUCCCCGGACAAUUCAGCCCGAAUGACUCGGAUCCAGCUUGUGUGAAUUUCUUAAAAAUGAGUCAUAAGGUGGCUAAGUAUGCAACCUGUGUUUGCAUUUCCUGCAAUCUCUGAUGAGAGACCAUGAAUGAUCUCCUGGGUGGGUCACAAAGGUCUGGAUCGGGAGAUCAAUCAGCUGCUGGAGGAGUCAUGGGUGUAAUGUCCCAGAGGUGCGUCGGUGGAUUGAGGUUUGGGGAAACAGUGGACUCCUCAAUGUCAUCAGUGCCUUUUUUUGAGUUUAAAAUACCUCACCCACGCUCUUGUAUCGGAUCAAAGGUCAGUCUUUUUUUGGGUCAACUCUCUUCAACUUGCAACUUUAACCUGAUAACAUACAAUUGACCUUUUGUGCUUGGUUUUGGCUUAUUUUGUAAUGUGUGCAAGUUUUUGUGUGUGUAUUGAUUAUUACAGUAAGUAUACUAUCAUUUAACCCCUUGGCUUUGUUCUAUUGGAUCUUUUUUGCUUCUUCGGACAGUCUGACAUCUUAGUGAGUGUGUGUAUUUUUGCUUUUUUGCAUGAAGUUUGACCUAACACCAGUCUUAUAGUUUCUGCUUAUUUUUAACACUAUACAGUGCUGUACAGUGUUGUUGAUACAAUCAGCAGAGGGAUCAUCCGCUUGUUAAAUUAAAAUAAUUCAAAUUCAUUGUCAGUGUUGUAAGCCAUUAGACGACUUUUCGAAAAGAAGAAUAUUAUACAAUGUGUCUAGGAUGAUUCUUGUUUAGCCAAGCAAAUAACAAGCUAUGUAAAAAUGUCAUUUUGAAGCAUUUCAAUGUGUCCAAAUCUCUGCUGUUUCAUUUUAUAUAUGAUGAUAACACUGUUCAACAUAUUUUUACUCAUUAUUUUUAAUCAGAGAUGAAAGUAUGUCGAUUUCCAAUCUGCCCUCAUUUUUUGCAAGCAUGUCAGGUUUUUAUAACAAUGUCAAACCUAAAAUCAAAACAUAAGGACAUAUGAAAAAAGGGGAAACAUUUUAUUUUUUAAAAAUCAGCGUCAGAAAUACAUUUAGGGAUACAUGAAGCCAUCUCUGAUUAAAAUGUGCUGUUGCCCAGUGUACUAAUAUGAAUGAAUGAAGGAAUGAAUGCAAAACCUGAUGUGUUUAAUAUCUCUGACGUACCCACAGGUGACCUGACAGCCUCCCAGCUACAGUACACCGGCCCCAUUUUCACACAGGCUAUGCCACAGGGCGGCCUUCCUCGUAAACAGUCCGAACGCAGCUUGUUGAAGAACAGGGAAGCUGCCCGCGAAUACAGGAGGAGGAAAAAGGUUUAUAUUCAAGAUCUUGAGAAACGUGCGGAGAAGCUUGAAAUGGAAAAUAAGGCUUUGAAGGAAGAACUUAAAAUCUGGAAAAUGGAUCAACAGAGAUUUAAAUAGUUUCUUCACUGCAAGCUGUUUUGAAUUGCAUAGAGUGAAUCAGAUAACAUGAAUUUUUUUUAUGAUAUUAUCAGGACGCAUUUGCACAGCCUGCAACGCAUAUACUUGAAUGUUUAGCUUUAGUGACCUUGUGUCACAAGCCCGCAAAAUUCAUUUGCAUUUUUGUCAGAUUUCUGGAAUCAACAAAAAAUCCCAACAACGCAGGCAUUAGGGAAAUUGUCAGAAAAUGAUGACAAAUAGAUUUUUUUAAAUGUUUGAAACGGUGACGUGAAUCAUGAUGGAGGCAAAUCAAAGUUAGGAGAAUUUUGCUUACACAGCUAAACCUCGUUUUUACGCCCUUUGAUUCUACACGACUUUCUGUCUAACGCAGUUUGGUCAUGGACCCCAAUUUUUUUCGUCAUAUUUUAAAUGUAGAAAUUGUAGUGCGAGAAGAGGCUUAGCUGUAUUAGCAAAUGAGUGUCAACAGCUAAUGUCUGUAUACGGUCUUUGAAUGUUUGUGUGUUGAAAAAAAAUAAAUAAAAUCCCUGGGAUUAUUUUUGACCCCACUUUAGCAUCUAAUAGAUAUAGAGAAUACUUGAAAUACAUAUUUAAAUGACAAAAAAUGCAAUUGUGUUUUCCACUCCUUUUGUAUAAUAGGCAUUUUCCCAUCCAGGUGUCAUGUGACACAUUUAUUGGACCUAAACAGUUUUAAACUGUAAUAACAGCAUUCACCACCAGAUGGCAGGCAUGUCUUACUAGUACUGCCUAGAGAAAAGGGAAGAGUGGGUCAGAACCAAACUGGUCAAGUAAAUUUGGACUUUUAAGUCAAAUAAAAAUCUGAUUAUUCAUUGAAUUAAAAAACGAUGUAAUUUUGAGAUGAGAGCAGAAGAGAAAGCUGAUUAAUUGAAAACUCCCAGAGCAACUCCUAUGAAAUCAUUUGCUUACAGUGCUUUGGCAGAUCCGAUGAAAAAACAUUUGUCACAUUGGUAAAAUAGCAGGCAGCUGAGUAACUUCAUACCUCGGCGCAGCUGCUAUGUGCCGAAGAAUCCAGCGAACGUAUGUUAGCCCCUAAAUCCUGUGUGGCCAUCUGUUACGUCGCAAAAACCCUCUUGUUGUAUCUGCACAUGGCUAAUAAAGUGAAUUACCUGGAACACAAUGUA